rnacentral:rRNA from 1 species
UACGUAGGGUGCAAGCGUUAAUCGGAAUUACUGGGCGUAAAGCGUGCGCAGGCGGUUGUGCAAGACCGAUGUGAAAUCCCCGGGCUUAACCUGGGAAUGGCAUUGGUGACUGUACGGCUAGAAUCUGGCAGAGGGGGGUAGAAUUCCACGUGUAGCAGUGAAAUGCGUAGAGAUGUGGAGGAACACCGAUGGCGAAGGCAGCCCCCUGGGUCAAGAUUGACGCUCAUGCACGAAAGCGUGGGGAGCAAACAGG